rnacentral:lncRNA from 1 species
AUGACUCCACCGGGACAGGGAAUUACCCCGCCAGGUCCGGGAAUGGAUCCCCCUAGAAGCCAUGUAAAGAAAAAGGACAAGUGUGGGGCCCCGCUGCUUCCCGCAGGCGUCCAUCCCUCAGAGAGGUACCAGAGGACUCCACACAUAAAACGUGAUGGAAACUGCACACCGUUACCUCCCUCGCUAGAACCGGGGAUGCAUGAAGCCGAUUCCGUUGCAGACGAACCCCCAAGGGAGCCCCCCCUGCACACACUCCCCAGAGCACAACUCGCGAACGCAGAGGCGGAAAUCCUGCGGCUCCCUUCGCACGGCUCGCACCCCCGUCUCUGGCCCGGACUCGAACGACCAACGAGGUCCCAACAUGAAGCUCAUCAAGGCGAUCCCCAUAGAGAACACGUACUGAUCACCCAGAAUGAGCCUGAUUCCUUGUGCAGUGGCAUUCUUCGAGUUGAAAAUGAAGUAUUUGCUGACGUUCUGCUCAGUUGGGUCAGUCCCCUCCAACACGGCCACAUGUCCGACUUCAGCGGCCUCAGCGGUCCUUCCAGACAGAACUUCACGUAGGUAACGUGUUCUGAUGGUGUUUUCAGCCAUUUUCCUGUCCCCUGUGCUCGGAAUUCCCAGGACUGCCCUGGAGAGCUACUUGUAACCAGCUCCGUUCUCGGGGCGAGCUGGCGCAGGCCACAGUUUUCUCCACCUCGUGAGUUACAUCCCGUGGCGUGAGAAGGCAGUGGACUGGAGCCACGGGCACGGGUUCUGCGUGACCCUGGGAGGGGCUCUGCUCCUCUCUGCCUCCCGUUCCCUCCUUGGCUGUAAAGUGGGGUAAGGUUGAACCCGUCAGGAGGGUUUUCGUAGGGGUGGGAGAGUGAAUGCGGGUGGGGUGCCCAGGAUGGGGUCUGGUCCCCGGCGAGUGCUCGCUGAGCGCAAGCUACCUUAGUGAGUGCCUGGCAUUCACUGCUGGAACUGGCAGCCUUCCCACCAACGGGGGUCUGGGGGUGGGCAAGCGCGUCUCCCUGAAUUCUCAGCAGUCUGCGUCAGACAAGCCUGGGUACAAAGGAAGCGUGGAUUCUUUCACGAAGGUUAGGGAACUGGUCUUGCUGCUCGGAGAACUGGAGCCUGGAUUGCAGGUGGGGUUUUGUGGAAAGCUGGUGGUGGUUCCAGCUGCCGACUAGGUUCCAGAGGGAAGGGCGCUGCUGACUCCGUGAAUUCCACUGCAAGUCCAGGCGCGGGUGUUCCCAAUCCCUGAGGACGAGACCAAGCACCCUGCGUUGGGCAGUUCGCCGCCUCUCUUUGAACAAACGGUUUCUUCCACAUUCACAGAUGGUUGUGUAGGUCCAGCCAGGAUGGCGUGUCCUCCGCGCUCCUUGUGACUCUGUGAGUUUGUUACCAGUUACAACACACAUCCAUUUCUCUGGACACACACCCUGGCAUGUGCGUGCCAUGCGGUGACUUAAAUGUGUAAGCGUGCCGACAGGUGAGGGCCCCCGGGGGGUGCUUGUGUGUUGGGGUGGGGGUCAGGCCCCCUCAUUCACCGACGGGGACUUGGGACUAUUCUUUCCCCUUCUCAGCCUGGGUUUUGUCAUCUACAGAAAGGGGUUAAUGAGACAGCCUCUCCCACGGUCACCGUGAAUGGCAUUUUUGUCGUGGGUGUUCGCCGAGCGGGGCUGCGGGAAGCUCUGGAUAGACUUUGGCUGUUGGUGUCGGCACGGGAAACGCGAGCCCCUUGCCCUCCCCUGAACACAGCAUUCUGGCAUUUCUUAUUCACUGUGCCCACAGGGCGCCUUGCCAGCCUCUUCAUAAAGCUGCUACUCAGAGGCAGAGUGCGUCCUCCUGGUCGGUGUCACGUCUCCAGAGCGAGGCUUCGUCUCAUCAGGAAAUGCGAACUCACCCAUCCCGCUGCCAGGGGACAGUUAGCCAAGCAGAUGCGGGAGGCAUUCAGUUCUGGGCUCGAAUUCCAUCCCCCACUCCCUGGGGUCUGUGGGGCUGGUUACCUCCCAACCUGGUUUCUUCCUUCAUCGUCGUCAGAUGAAAGUGACUGAGCGAGUGGUCCUGGGCUCGCCUCCCGAGGAGGUAAGCUGGGGCGGGCGGGGGUGUAGGAGUCUCUGAUGCAGACCCCAGGGGCCCAGGCUUUGCCCGGUAAACCAGUGGACGUCACAUCAAACUUCAACAGGCAGUGAGAUCUGAGGAAACUGUCUUUUCAUCUUUAAAAAAGAAAUCUGGGGAAAUGCGGGACGUAGCCAAGCAGCGUCUCUUGAGGUGAACUCGUCAAGUGUUCCCGUGUUGCUUCUUGAUCUGGAGUGUUCCUGUGAGGCCUCGAGGGCCCUACAUGAGAUUGUGUAAGGCAGCUGGCUCAUUGCAGGCAUCCGGUGGGGUCGGCCCCCCGGGGACCCUUCACAGACAUGCCUCCCACUUCAGUAAGAGCUCAAGAAGAACUCGAGCCUGGUUCCUAGCCGGCGGGACGGUGACGGGGGUCCAGGUCCCCCACGCACACACAGCUGGGCACACCUGUGCGGCCUUGUGAUUUCUGCACACACUUUGUGCUUAACCAGCAUGAAAUGUGAAGCUGGGAAACCGGGACGAGGUUGUGCAGUAAAUUCACAUGCCCCUGAUGGACGGCAGGCGUGUGCUUGUCGGGGACCCGGUUUUCAGGGUUAGGGCUCAGCGGGACUGCUGCCUGGGGGCCCGGAAGGGCUGGGUCCAGGGUGGGGCCUCCUGUUACCGGGCCCCGGAGGAGCACGGUUUCUGCUCAACCAAGUGUCAUCACGUCAUCCGAAGUCUAGGGUAGAGAUUCAGCCUGACAGCGUGAGGCCAGGCGUUCUCAGAGGGCGUGUGCAGAAACGACUCCCCUUAGAAUCGCCUUCCACCUUAAGAUGGAAAACUCUUGGUACGGUCUGCGGCCAGACAGACUUGCACAGUUAAAUCUGUAACAUUUUGUAACUAUUGCUUCUCUUUUCGUCGGUCCCUCAAGCUGUACGUAACAGGCUCCUUAUGCUUCUGCUUAAACCUUUUCCUCAGAAUCCUUUUAUUUACUUAUGUUUUUAGCUCAGUAGUAAGGAUGCUUUCUAACAACAGGAGAUGCAGAAAUAAUAAAAUCUGUAGACAUGUUAUUGUUGAUGACAUUGGUUGAUGUUGCAAAUUCUUGCUUGAUUGUUCCCCAAACGGUUUCCCCUCACGGGACAGGCUGCACCAGGCUCCCUGGGGACCUGCUGGCCUCACCCACAGGCUCUGGGGACAUCGCCCUGAUGGCUUUUCCACCAAGGUCCGAGGUGGCUUGCCUGUGGGGAGAGGCACGGCAGGGGAGGUGACGAUGGGUGGCAGCCUUGGGAAGCCUGGGUCAGGACAGUCUGGUCGUGGUCAGGGGCCAGCGUGCGAGGAGCACAUGGGGGGGCCCUGGAGUCCAUCCUGUCAUGGUUCAGCCAGAGGUCGACCAGAGCUGGCCCUGCCAGUGACCCCUUCUCUGGUUCCACGAGUUAGCCCGACACCUCCCACCAGGGGCUGCGCGGUGGGGCCCCAACCCUGGCUUGUCCCACUUGUCUCUCCAGUGUGCGAUCUGAGCGGGCU